rnacentral:rRNA from 1 species
GACGAACGCUGGCGGCGUGCUUAACACAUGCAAGUCGAACGGAAAGGCCCUGCUUUUGUGGGGUGCUCGAGUGGCGAACGGGUGAGUAACACGUGAGUAACCUGCCCUUGACUUUGGGAUAACUUCAGGAAACUGGGGCUAAUACCGGAUAGGAGCUCCUGCUGCAUGGUGGGGGUUGGAAAGUUUCGGCGGUUGGGGAUGGACUCGCGGCUUAUCAGCUUGUUGGUGGGGUAGUGGCUUACCAAGGCUUUGACGGGUAGCCGGCCUGAGAGGGUGACUGGCCACAUUGGGACUGAGAUACGGCCCAGACCCCUACGGGAGGCAGCAGUGGGGAAUAUUGCACAAUGGGCGGAAGCCUGAUGCAGCAACGCCGCGUGCGGGAUGACGGCCUUCGGGUUGUAAACCGCUUUCGCCUGUGACGAAGCGUGAGUGACGGUAAUGGGUAAAGAAGCACCGGCUAACUACGUG